rnacentral:tRNA from 1 species
GGGCCCGUUGCCCAGCCAGGAUAGGGCGCAGACCUCCUAAGUCUGAGGUCGUGGGUUCGAAUCCCACCGGGCCCG